GUUCCAGCCAUUAUUGUGACCCUCAGCAGCCUCCACUGCUACACACCUUUAUAGGGUUGGAGUUGGGGUUAGUGUUCCCACUUGGCCAUGUCUCCAUGUUACUGUUCACGGAAAACAGAAGGAAGACAGAGGCAACCACCUAUGCUAAUUAGCUAUCUAGCAUGCUCCAAACACCUGUGUGUAAGUGUAACUCGGGAAGUGUAGUUUCGUCAGAUGGACGCAUCCGUAGCUGUAUGGAUCUAUGCAAAAAUGCUACAUUGAUAUGACUUUAACCCCCUGCCAUCGCUAGACUGAAGCUUCUUCCCCGGUAUGCCCUGGCUGCUGUGUCAACCACAGCCCGAGCUCGAUCUGGCCAUGACUGCCAACUGUUCCAGCCUCUGUCAGAGUUCCCAAUUGGAUGGGACCUUCAUUGGAUUGGACGCUUAAGACCACAUCAGCCUGCUUCCAUUGGAUUCCUAAACCGAUGCAGGGACUGGUCUCUUGACAUGGACAGAAUCUGAACAUUCAGCUCACUUGCCAGAGAGAAAUAGACUCCUCAUUUGGUUCCUUUUCCUUUCAUGUUUCAUUGUUAAAUCUGUGGGAAAGUAUCUGCCUUGUCAGCCGAUUAUUUAAGUGCUGUGUGACAAACUUUUUUCAAAUUGCUACACAGUACAAAUAAAAGCAGUCAGUGUCUUUGAGCUGUUUUUUUUUUACUGUGUUUGUACGUGUUUGUAGUUACUCUAUCCCCAUUAUUUCAAGAUUAUAUACUGUAACGAUGGACAUUUUGUAACCUGUAGAUUAAACUACAAGUAUGUGGGUUGUUGUGCCCUACUAUGAUACAAAA